UACGGAGGGGGCUAGCGUUGUUCGGAAUUAUUGGGCGUAAAGAGCUCGUAGGCGGUUCGUCGCGUCGGCUGUGAAAACCCGGAGCUCAACUCCGGGCCUGCAGUCGAUACGGGCGGACUUGAGUGUUGCAGGGGAGACUGGAAUUCCUGGUGUAGCGGUGAAAUGCGCAGAUAUCAGGAGGAACACCGGUGGCGAAGGCGGGUCUCUGGGCCGAUACUGACGCUGAGGAGCGAAAGCGUGGGGAGCAAACAGG
rnacentral:rRNA from 1 species